CGCCAUUGUCCUGCCUCAGCCUCCCGAGUAGCUGGGACUACAGACGCCCGCCACCACGCCCGGCUAAUUUGUUUUUUGUAUUUUUAGUAGAGACGGGGUUUCACCGUGUUACCCAGGAUGGUAUCGAUCUCCCGACCUCGUGAUCCACCCGCCUCGGCCUCCCAAAGUGCUGGGAUGACAGGCGUGAGCCACCGCGCCCGGCCCUAUUUUUUUCUUUUUUGAGACAGAGUCUCGCUUUGUCGUACAGGCUGGAGUGCAGGGGUGCAACUGGGGUUCACUGCAGCCUCGAACUCCCAGGCUCAAGCGAUCCUCCUGCCUCAGCCACCCAAGUAGCUGGAACCACAGGUCCGCACCACCACGCCCCGCUAUUUUUUGUGUUUUUUGUAGGGACGGGGUUGCACCAUGUUGCUCAGGCUGGUCUCGAACUCCCGUGCUCAAGCGAUCCGCCAUCCUGGGCCUCCCAAAGUGCUGGGGUUACAGGCAUGCGGCCCCGCGCCGGCCCAGUCUUUCCCUCUCCCACUGCUUCCCAGGGCUUCGCCUGUCUAACCAGGCGCGGGCAGUUGUCCUGUGUCCUGGCUCAGCGCGGACCUACGCGGGGUGGUCACACAGAUGCCCCCAGCUCUCUCUACCUCCCGCGAAGGCGCUGAGCCCCCUGAUCCCUGCCCGGGCACUGGCGCAAGGUCGCCUGCGAGCGCCAGGCCUUCCUGCCCGGUGGGAGACGGGAGGGCCCGCUCUCCGGCUCGGUCUGGUUCCCGGGUCAGCCAGCAGCCGCGCCUCUUCCUCCCAGACCCGGGACCCGCCCCUUGGCCGGGGCCGCGGCCGCAGCGCCCGGAGGGGCCGCCCUGCGCGUGCCCGCGGGAGGCUCUCCUUCUGCCUCCGCAUGCCCAACGAUCCGGAGAAAAACACGGACCAUGACAUCAAAAGGCCUUGGCCAAGGAAUCGUGAUUAUUGUGAUACAAGAUUCUGCACCUCAAAGGGGAUCCCUGUAGUGCUGCCAUGGCCACGACUGUUGUUACACUCGAGCUGAGGAGGCCGGCUGCAGCCCCAAGACAGAGCGCUACUCCUGGCAGUGCGUCAAUCAGAGCGUCCUGUGCGGACUCUGCAAGGUCAGUGUGACCACCCUGCUCCAAAUCUAAGAAAACAGAGGUUUCCAGAGGAAGGAGAAAUUGUGCCCAGGGUCACACAGCUUGCAAGAGGCAGAGUGGAAGUUGAUUCCAGCUCUGCCUGCAGGACCCUCUCAUUUCCCCUCUGUUUCCCUUCUUGACAAAGGAUCUUCUUCACUCUGGAGGUGCCACCCAUGAGAA
rnacentral:lncRNA from 1 species